rnacentral:lncRNA from 1 species
UAUGUUGUAAAUUCUAGGGUCUUCUCUCUUAGGAUCUGUGCAGAUCUCUGGCUGAUUGCUUUAUGCCUGGUUCUGGAGCCUUUGCCAGUGCAUUCUAAGAAGAACAAGGGAAGACCAGCAAGCCACAGCAGAAGAAACUCAGAAGGAAAUGUAACCUUCCACAGGCCCACACAUGUGUUAUCAGCCAUACCUUAGGACAGAAGGAAUGAGUUUGCAGAAAGGAUGCCCUACAACCAUACUGAGAAUUUAGCCCUGGGGACAUCUUCCGAUAUAAUCUGGCAUAGAAGAGUGGUUAUCACACCUUUAGCAUGGAUAGAAAUGCAAAACAAUAUUUGUAAUAGUCUGUGCUCACGCUGCUAUAAGGACAUACCCAAGACUAGGACCCUUGAGACACCUUUGCUGUGAAUAAUGGAGAAGCAAAAGGAGUUACUAAUGAAGACAAACUAAACCUGAGAACAGAGAGAGCCUAACUAUGUGCUCCAGAAGUGCCAUGUGUGUCUAAGGACAUCAGCAAGAUGAUGAAAAGGGAGUUUUCUACUGUCAUUCCCCAAAAGAAGCAUCAAUUUUACAACUACUCAUGGACAAGAGUAUCCUUGUAGGAAUCUAAGAGUUUAGCAAAGAAGUUUCAGCACAUUCUCAGAGCAAAAAGUUUGAGUAUGCAUACGGAGAAGAGAAGAGAAUAAGAACAGUUGCACUUUACCUGCACUUUUUCUCCCCCAAGGUGUCACAGCUCAGUGCCAAGAGAGACCUCCUUAGCCCGUUUCUCCCAUAAAGGAAAGUGAGAGUAUAGUAAAUAAACUGUCAGUUCCCUGGCUGUGUGAGAUGCUGCCCAAUAGCCCCACCUCUUUUUUGUCUUACCCAAAUUACUGAGGUGAUCGGCACAGGUGAGAGAUUGGGAGAGGGUAGAACCAGAGAAGAGAGGCCGUGGACUCUCAUAAUUGCUCCAGUGGAUUCCAUGAGGAAGUUUGUCCAUGAGGCACUCGAGAUGUCUCACCUGCGGACACCACCAAUGGCCCAAGGCCACUGCAAAUGCAUUUCAUGCUUCUCCCACCGCCUGGAUGAAAGAAGGAUAGAAAAAAGGCACACAAACUGGAGCAUCUCAAAGCACUGCUCUAAUAGGCUGUACAGGAAGCAUGGCACCAACAUCUGCCCAGCUCCUAGGGAGGCCUCGGGGAGCUUUUACUCAUGGUGGAGGGUGAAGCAGGAGCAAGUACAUCAUACGGCGAAAGCAAGAGCAAGUGAGUCGGGGGCAGGUUCCACACACUUUUAAAUGACCAGAUCUCAUGAGAACUCACUCACUAUCUUGGAGAAAGCACCAAGCCAUAAGGGAUCUGCCCCCAUGACCCAUACACUUCCCACCAGGUCCCACCUCCAACACUGGGGAUUACAUAUCAACAUGAGAUUUGGGUGGCACAAAUAUCCAAAUCAUAUCACAAUAAUUAAGGAAUUUUAAAUACUGAAAGAACAGAAUAAACUUGGAAAAUAAAUAUUGCUGAAGCAACUGGUUAAAAAUGAAAAAUUUAACCAAGCAUGUUAUUUGACAUCAUGUGCACAAUAUAGAAUUAUCUGAAUUUGAGAACAUUUCUAUAGAAUUCAAUUUAAAAAACCCAGACUUCCAGGUGUAAGAUUAAAUCUUUUCAUAAGAAAACAAAGAGAGAAUGAAAUUAACUUGAGGUGAUUUAAAUCAUGGCAGUG